rnacentral:rRNA from 1 species
CCUACGGGAGGCAGCAGUGAGGAAUAUUGGUCAAUGGUCGAGAGUCUGAACCAGCCAAGUAGCGUGAAGGAUGACUGUCCUAUGGGUUGUAAACUUCUUUUAUCUGGGAAUAAAAUGUUCCACGUGUGGGAUUUUGUAUGUACCAUAUGAAUAAGCAUCGGCUAACUCCGUGCCAGCAGCCGCGGUAAUACGGAGGAUCCGAGCGUUAUCCGGAUUUAUUGGGUUUAAAGGGAGCGUAGGUGGAUUGUUAAGUCAGUUGUGAAAGUUUGCGGCUCAACCGUAAAAUUGCAGUUGAAACUGGCAGUCUUGAGUACAGUAGAGGUAUGCGGAAUUCGUGGUGUAGCGGUGAAAUGCUUAGAUAUCGCGAAGAACUCCGAUUGCGAAGGCAGCUCACUGGACUGCAACUGACACUGAGGCUCGAAAGUGUGGGUAUCGAACAGGAUUAGAUACCCCGGUAGUC